rnacentral:rRNA from 1 species
CCUACGGGUGGCAGCAGUAGGGAAUCUUCCGCAAUGGGCGCAAGCCUGAUGGAGCAACACCGCGUGAGUGACGAAGGGUUUCGGCUCGUAAAGCUCUGUUGUUGGGGAAGAACGUGCGUGAGAGUAACUAUUCACGCAGUGACGGUAUCCAACCAGAAAGUCACGGCUAACUACGUGCCAGCAGCCGCGGUAAUACGUAGGUAGCAAGCGUUAUCCGGAUUUAUUGGGCGUAAAGCGAGCGCAGGCGGUUGUUUAGGUCUGAUGGGAAAGCCUUCGGCUUAACCGAAGAAGUGCAUAGGAAACCGGGCGACUUGAGUGCAGAAGAGGAAAGUGGAACUCCAUGUGUAGCGGUGGAAUGCGCAGAUAUAUGGAAGAACACCAGUGGCGAAGGCGGCUGUCUGGUCUGUAACUGACGCUGAGGCUCGAAAGCAUGGGGAGCGAACAGGAUUAGAUACCCUAGUAGUC